GGGGAAUAUUGCACAAUGGGCGCAAGCCUGAUGCAGCCAUGCCGCGUGUGUGAAGAAGGCCUUCGGGUUGUAAAGCACUUUCAGCGGGGAGGAAGGGAGUAAGGUUAAUAACCUUAUUCAUUGACGUUACCCGCAGAAGAAGCACCGGCUAACUCCGUGCCAGCAGCCGCGGUAAUACGGAGGGUGCAAGCGUUAAUCGGAAUUACUGGGCGUAAAGCGCACGCAGGCGGUCUGUCAAGUCGGAUGUGAAAUCCCCGGGCUCAACCUGGGAACUGCAUCCGAAACUGGCAGGCUUGAGUCUCGUAGAGGGAGGUAGAAUUCCAGGUGUAGCGGUGAAAUGCGUAGAGAUCUGGAGGAAUACCGGUGGCGAAGGCGGCCUCCUGGACGAAGACUGACGCUCAGGUGCGAAAGCGUGGGGAGCAAAC
rnacentral:rRNA from 1 species